UAUACAGCUGCCUGUCGAACAUCAGGAUUUUCAUCAUUGCAUGCCUCUAACAGGAAAGGAAGAAAUGUAUCGUAGUAUUUAAGUGCUGCCUCACGACAUUGCUCUGCAACAUCAUCAAAAAUGCAAAUUGCAAUCCUUCUCUCCUCAGCAGUCUUAUCUUUGCCCCACAUUGGAGUUAGAUAGGUUGAUAGCUCAUCAAAAAAAGGCAAGAAAGCAGCUUUAAAUGUUUUUAUCAAUGUCCCCAAGAUUUCACCCACUUGGUCAAAAACUUCCUCCUCCUGCUCAUUUUCCUCUUUUAUCAACUCUCCCUCCUCAGCAUCAAAGUCUUCAGCUUUGGCUCUCUCUGCUCCUCUCUCUUUUCCUACUAGAACUAGCUGUGAUCACCUGUUUUAUCUCAUCUACGAUGGAUCUCACUUGACCUUCAUCAACAAGUGGUCCAGAUAUCUGUAAGCAUUCAUUUACUGCAUCCAACAUACUAGCACAAAUUUCGGUAUCAGGUUCCUUGUGUAAUGCUUCCACCAAAGCUGGAAUAAUGUAGUCAGACAACUGCUUUACAUAGGACUCAUUGCGACCUUGAGACACUCCCUUCUCUACAGCUAAUUUGGCAGAACGCAGCAGCUCUGGCAUGGCUGAAACAGCUGCUUUCCUAACUUCUUCAUGGAAAUAAAAUUUCAGAAGAGGAACCAGAGUUGGAGCAACCUGAUCAAUCCAUGGAAAGAAGCCUUCCUUAAGCUCAUCCGCAUAGCAACAUAACAUGUUACAUGCAGUUGCUUUUUCUUCCAGGACACUAGUCUUGAUCCCUAUUCUUUUGUCCCCAAGGGUGAUAGUCUCCAUACUUUCAUCAUCUGAAUCAUCAAUAUCAUUAUCUGAAUCAGCAGAUGUAAUGGUUACAUCUGGCUUGAGUUGAGCAGACUGAAGCAAAGGCGGCAUGACAACCGUCAUAUACGGAAGAAAAUCUUGUCCCAAACACUUGCAAAGUCUAGCCCAUGCUUGUAACAUGUAACUUGUCGUUGGAUCAUCUGUCUCCAUUUGAGAUCCUUGCAAAGACAUAAGGACUUCCAU
rnacentral:misc_RNA from 1 species